GGGUUGUGAGGUUAAGCGACUAAGCGUACACGGUGGAUGCCCUGGCAGUCAGAGGCGAUGAAGGACGUGCUAAUCUGCGAUAAGCGUCGGUAAGGUGAUAUGAACCGUUAUAACCGGCGAUUUCCGAAUGGGGAAACCCAGUGUGUUUCGACACACUAUCAUUAACUGAAUCCAUAGGUUAAUGAGGCGAACCGGGGGAACUGAAACAUCUAAGUACCCCGAGGAAAAGAAAUCAACCGAGAUUCCCCCAGUAGCGGCGAGCGAACGGGGAGGAGCCCAGAGCCUGAAUCAGUGUGUGUGUUAGUGGAAGCGUCUGGAAAGGCGCGCGAUACAGGGUGACAGCCCCGUACACAAAAAUGCACAUACUGUGAGCUCGAUGAGUAGGGCGGGACACGUGGUAUCCUGUCUGAAUAUGGGGGGACCAUCCUCCAAGGCUAAAUACUCCUGACUGACCGAUAGUGAACCAGUACCGUGAGGGAAAGGCGAAAAGAACCCCGGCGAGGGGAGUGAAAAAGAACCUGAAACCGUGUACGUACAAGCAGUGGGAGCACGCUUCGGCGUGUGACUGCGUACCUUUUGUAUAAUGGGUCAGCGACUUAUAUUCUGUAGCAAGGUUAACCGAAUAGGGGAGCCGAAGGGAAACCGAGUCUUAACUGGGCGUUAAGUUGCAGGGUAUAGACCCGAAACCCGGUGAUCUAGCCAUGGGCAGGUUGAAGGUUGGGUAACACUAACUGGAGGACCGAACCGACUAAUGUUGAAAAAUUAGCGGAUGACUUGUGGCUGGGGGUGAAAGGCCAAUCAAACCGGGAGAUAGCUGGUUCUCCCCGAAAGCUAUUUAGGUAGCGCCUCGUGAAUUCAUCUCCGGGGGUAGAGCACUGUUUCGGCAAGGGGGUCAUCCCGACUUACCAACCCGAUGCAAACUGCGAAUACCGGAGAAUGUUAUCACGGGAGACACACGGCGGGUGCUAACGUCCGUCGUGAAGAGGGAAACAACCCAGACCGCCAGCUAAGGUCCCAAAGUCAUGGUUAAGUGGGAAACGAUGUGGGAAGGCCCAGACAGCCAGGAUGUUGGCUUAGAAGCAGCCAUCAUUUAAAGAAAGCGUAAUAGCUCACUGGUCGAGUCGGCCUGCGCGGAAGAUGUAACGGGGCUAAACCAUGCACCGAAGCUGCGGCAGCGACACUAUGUGUUGUUGGGUAGGGGAGCGUUCUGUAAGCCUGUGAAGGUGUACUGUGAGGUAUGCUGGAGGUAUCAGAAGUGCGAAUGCUGACAUAAGUAACGAUAAAGCGGGUGAAAAGCCCGCUCGCCGGAAGACCAAGGGUUCCUGUCCAACGUUAAUCGGGGCAGGGUGAGUCGACCCCUAAGGCGAGGCCGAAAGGCGUAGUCGAUGGGAAACAGGUUAAUAUUCCUGUACUUGGUGUUACUGCGAAGGGGGGACGGAGAAGGCUAUGUUGGCCGGGCGACGGUUGUCCCGGUUUAAGCGUGUAGGCUGGUUUUCCAGGCAAAUCCGGAAAAUCAAGGCUGAGGCGUGAUGACGAGGCACUACGGUGCUGAAGCAACAAAUGCCCUGCUUCCAGGAAAAGCCUCUAAGCAUCAGGUAACAUUAAAUCGUACCCCAAACCGACACAGGUGGUCAGGUAGAGAAUA
rnacentral:rRNA from 1 species